CAAAAGGCUGCUUUCAGAAACUAGUUCAACUUAUCCAAGGGUCUCCAAUUCGCCGCCCGUAGUCAUUUCCUUCAUGGAAUCUCAUUCUUAAUAUUUUGCUACAUUUCCCUGAUCAGUGGGAAAGCACUCAGCUGGGCAUUCGUGACCCACGUGACCUGAUGCCACUGGGCUGAUAUGAAUCCAGGCCUGUCAUCACAUCUGUAGCCGCUGCCUGCCUUGAGUCAUUCAGCAUCUGAACCUUCUACUCAUAUUUUGGGAAGCCUUGUACGCUUUAAGAAGUCCACUUCCAGGUUCAGGGGCAAGAUGGCGGAGAAGUAAGGAGCUCCGUACUAGCACUCGCACCCAUACCUUACACGGAAAGAUCUGAAGCCAUUGGAAACCUUACAAAACCU